ensembl:rRNA 5S_rRNA 5S ribosomal RNA
GCUUACGGCCAUACCAACCUGGCUAUGCCCGAUCUCGUCUGAUCUCGGAAGCUAAGCAGGUUUGGGCCUGGUUAGUACUUGGAUGGGAGACCGCCUUUGGAAUACCAGGUGCUGUAAGCU